rnacentral:rRNA from 1 species
GACGAACGCUGGCGGCAUGCCUAAUACAUGCAAGUCGAACGGACAGAUGAAGUGCUGGCACUUCGUACGUUAGCGGCGAACGGGUGAGUAACACGUAAGGACUCUACCUAGAAGCGGCGGAUAACAUUCGGAAACGGGUGAUAAUACCCCACAAUAUCUUCUUCCGCAGGGAAGAAGAUUGAAAGACGGCUCGGCUGGCACUUAUAGAUGACCUUGCGGUGCAUUAGUUAGUUGGCGGGGUAACGGCCUACCAAGACGAUGAUGCAUAGCCGACCUGAGAGGGUGAUCGGCCACAUUGGAACUGAGACACGGCCCAAACUCCUACGGGAGGCAGCAGUAGGGAAUCUUCGGCAAUGGGCGAAAGCCUGACGGAGCAAUGCCGCGUGAGUGAAGAAGGCCUUCGGGUCGUAAAACUCUGUUAUAAGAGAAGAACAAAUCGUAGAGUAACUGCUACGCUCUUGACGGUAUCUUAUCAGAAAGCAACGGCUAACUACGUGCCAGCCGCCGCGGUAA